CUACGGGUCGCAGCAGUGGGGAAUCUUGGACAAUGGGCGCAAGCCUGAUCCAGCCAUGCCGCGUGAGUGAUGAAGGCCUUAGGGUCGUAAAGCUCUUUCGCCAGAGAUGAUAAUGACAGUAUCUGGUAAAGAAACCCCGGCUAACUCCGUGCCAGCAGCCGCGGUAAUACGGAGGGGGUUAGCGUUGUUCGGAAUUACUGGGCGUAAAGCGCGCGUAGGCGGACUAGUCAGUCAGGGGUGAAAUCCCGGGGCUCAACCCCGGAACUGCCUUUGAUACUGCUAGUCUAGAGUUCGAGAGAGGUGAGUGGAAUUCCGGGUGUAGAGGUGAAAUUCGUAGAUAUUCGGAGGAACACCAGUGGCGAAGGCGGCUCACUGGCUCGAUACUGACGCUGAGGUGCGAAAGUGUGGGGAGCAAACAGGAUUAGAUACCCCGGUAGUC
rnacentral:rRNA from 1 species